GGAUGAUUCACCCUUUGACGCUCUUAGUAGUCAUGAGAGCAUCUAUAGAAAAGAUAUUAGACAUAACAGAAAAACAAACAUAGAACUGAAUGAGCGCAGGUUUAGUGAUAUAAGGAGGACUAUUGUUGGCUUCAAAUUAAAGCCAGG